GAGGAACACUUCAACUCCUGUUGAAAUGUGCUGUUUUAAGGUAUGGUCAUUUUGGUUUUGUUUACAUUUCAGAGAAGCUUUUCUUUGGCAUUUUAACAUUGAGUUGCCUUUUUUUCCCCUAAAAUUGAAUUGUUUCUCUAAAAAAAAGAACAACAAAAUCAGGUGACAGCUGGUCUUUUAUGCUAAAUUCUGAAGCUUGCGGGCUUAAGCUUAUAAGAAAAAAGAUAUGUCUAGAUCAGUAGCAAUCAGAAUGUGUUUCAGCAGAGAUCUACACAGUAUCAAAAGCUUAGGCAAUUCCUCUUGUCUCCCAUCAUCUGGGAGAAAGUAGGCCUGCAAAGGAUUCAAAUAACAAAUUAGUAUGGAAUCAUUACGAGUAAUUUGACUUAUGAAAUUAGAUAUUUCUGAACAAACAAUAGAUGCAGCUCGAACCCCCUUCUUUCCCACAACUGUCAAACAUGGUUGUAUUUGUGAGGCCUGGGAUAAAAUUCAGUUCAAUUUCUUGACAAAAUCUUUGCAGAAUCAAAGGAGGCAAAUGUAGCAUGGAUCCUGAAAGCUGAUGAUGAGCACACAGAAUCCAAACCUGACUCACAAAAAGAACAAGACGGGUUUUAUUACAAAUGGAAAUAACAGGAUAACUCCAAACAAACAAGGAAGCUCGGCGGGAAGAGAUGAGAUUUGGAGAUGGGGAAUGGAUACUUUCAGGAGUUCAUACAUCCACGUGGGAGCAGCGCGCAGGGCAACAGAGGGUGCCAUUGUGCCAUUGUGCUCCUCCUGCAGGGUGGGUGAGGGUGGUUUUCCCUGUGAGCUCCGAGAUCUGGCAGAUAAAACACAAUCGGAUUGAUUUAUUUAUAAAUCUCCAAGAAGCUUUGUUUGCACAGCAGGCUUGGCAGUACAAGCAGAAGUGCACUGUGCAUGUUUUCAUGUAUAUACGUAGAAAUUAAUUAACACACAUAUUUCUGGGGAAGCGCC
ensembl:lncRNA